rnacentral:rRNA from 1 species
AUAUAUAGCUAUAGCACCCUGACAACACCCAAUCUCAUCUGAUCUGGGAAGCUAAGCAGGGUCGGCCCCGGUCACUACUUGGAUGGGAGACCAUGAAAGUCAAUGGGGGAUUAGAAG